GUACUUGCCACGGCAAUGUACAUAUACUAAAAUUGGAACGAUACAGAGAAGAUUAGCAUGGCCCCUGGCGCAAGGAUGACACGCAAAAUCGUGAAGCGUUCCAAUCUUUU
rnacentral:snRNA from 1 species